UGAUUCCUUGUGGUUUGAUUG
rnacentral:piRNA from 1 species